UAGGGAAUAUUGGUCAAUGGGUGAGAGCCUGAACCAGCCAUGCCGCGUGCAGGAAGACGGCCUUCUGGGUUGUAAACUGCUUUUGUCAGGGGAUAAAAUUUCCUUGCGAGGAAAAUUGAAGGUACCUGGCGAAUAAGCCACGGCUAACUACGUGCCAGCAGCCGCGGUAAUACGUAGGUGGCAAGCGUUGUCCGGAUUUAUUGGGUUUAAAGGGUGCGUAGGCGGCCUAUUAAGUCAGUGCUGAAAUAUUCCGGCUUAACCGGGAGGGUGGCAUUGAUACUGAUGGGCUAGAGUACAGAUGAGGUAGGCGGAAUUGACGGUGUAGCGGUGAAAUGCUUAGAUAUCGUCAAGAACACCUAUAGCGAAGGCAGCUUACUAGGCUGUAACUGACGCUGAGGCACGAAAGUGUGGGGAUCAAACAGG
rnacentral:rRNA from 1 species